UGAGAUGAGGCUUGCAUUGUGACAGGGAUAAACCCUCCCUCCUGGAUCUGGGUUUGAAGCCACUGGUGUCCAUAUAUGGUUGGCUCCUAUAUAUUCAUUGUUGGGCCAUGGAUGGUUGAUCGGAAGAUGAUACGCAGACCAAAGGCAACAGGCAACCCUGUCCUAAAACUUGAUGACCCAUGAGCCAGUAUUUUUAUGACCCCUGCCACCCAGCACUGUCAGAUCGAGCCGGCUGCAGCUUAGCCAACCAAAACCGAGCCCAAGGAAGACCCCCAGGGAGAGACAGACAAGCCUGGGCAAUGUGUACGAAUUAUUUUUCAGGAGAUAUAUAUAAGCCGUAUCAAGAAGGAUGCUCCAUUCCCUGCAAGACAGAUUUGCUUACCAACGAUGACGCCACUUCUGAUCUUCCUGUUGGCCGGAAACAUCUUCAUAC